rnacentral:rRNA from 1 species
CUAGUUUACCUAUGACGCCGAUGACCCUGCGAGGCAUGUAUUUUUAUAUGGCUGAUGCGGCGACCUUCACUGAUUGCGCGACCGGAAAACGUUUCAUGGUAGCGAAUAACGCAGAGCUGGAGCGUAGCUACCUGGCUGCGCGCGGUCACAGUGAAAAACCGGUGUUACUGUCAGUAGAAGGUCACUUUACGCUUGAGGCUAAUCCGGAUACUGGUGCGCCAACCAAAGUAUUAGCGCCCGAUACGGCGGGUAAAUUUUACCCGAAUAAGGAUUGCAGUAGUUUGGGGCAGUAAACCUGCUUAAGGCAGAAACAAACGCAAAAUUGCCUGAUGCGCUGCGCUUAUCAGGCCUUGUAUUAUCCCUCCAGUGCAGAGAAAAUCGGCCAGUUUUCUCUGCCUGCAGUCCGCAUGCCGUAUCGGGCCUUGGGUUCUAACCUGUUGCGUAGAUUUAUGCAGCGGACUGCCUUUCUCCCAAAGUGAUAAACCGGACAGUAUCAUGGACCGGUUUUCCCGGUAAUCCGUAUUUGCAAGGUUGGUUUCACUAUGGAACAUGAACUUCAUUAUAUCGGUAUCGACACCGCUAAAGAGAAACUGGAUGUCGAUGUGUUGCGUCCUGAUGGUCGUCAUCGCACCAAAAAAUUCGCUAACACCACUAAAGGGCACGAUGAGCUGGUGAGCUGGCUGAAAGGUCACAAGAUUGACCAUGCGCAUAUCUGCAUCGAAGCGACCGGCACCUAUAUGGAACCUGUCGCUGAGUGCCUUUACGAUGCUGGCUACAUAGUGUCAGUC